rnacentral:lncRNA from 1 species
UUCCCUUUGUUUUCUUAACCAUUGUACCUGAGAAAUACAAAACUUGGAAAGGGAUAAGUCGAUUGACUUUGCAAAUGUAAACUUCAAGAAGGAACGUUAAAAAAAAACACAAUUCUCAAUCUUUUCAUCAUGUGAAAAUUACAAGACAAGUAAAAUUCAAUAAUCAAAGUUAUUCUAGAAUGAGAGGGUUCUCUAAUCAAACCUUUCAACACCUUAACAUACUAACUCACCCACUAACACACUCAAAUAGGAUCAAUUUCGAAAAGCCCCAAAUCCAUGAACCCUAAUUUUGCCAAAGUUCAAAUUAAGCUCAGUUCCACCUUCAAUUCAACAACCCAACUUGAUAUAUAAGCUUUCCCUAUUCUAUUUCACCACAAUCAAGCAAGAAAAUGACCAAAUUUCGAUUUUCAAAUUCUAGGGUUCAUUGACCUACGAAUUUGAAUUUAAAAACACAAUACCUUGCUUUGGAUGGAAGGAAAUGAGGAAUGGGUGGUGAGGAAUAGACUGUUGGGGCGAAAGCUUAGAUUUAGAAACAAGAACUAAGAGAUUUGGGUGAGAAUUAAAAAAGUUAGGAGAUUUUUGGUGUGGGUUUGUUUGAGAGAGUAUGAGUGUUUGUGAGAGGAAAGGAGAGUGAAAGAGAUGAAGGUCGUGGGUAUGGGUAGUUCUAGGGUCGUCCGGUUAGGUUUAGGGCUGGUUAAAUUGAAUUAAACCGGACAAAAUCGAAGAGGGACU